UACGGGGGGGGCAAGCGUUGUUCGGAAUUACUGGGCGUAAAGGGCGCGUAGGCGGCCUUCUAAGUCGGACGUGAAAUCCCUCGGCUUAACCGAGGAACUGCGUCCGAUACUGAAAGGCUUGAAUCCGGGAGAGGGAUGUGGAAUUCCAGGUGUAGCGGUGAAAUGCGUAGAUAUCGGGAAGAACACCCGUGGCGAAGGCGGCUCUCUGGGACGGUACUGACGCUGAGACGCGAAAGCGUGGGGAGCGAACAGG
rnacentral:rRNA from 1 species